CCUACGGGAGGCAGCAGUGGGGGAUAUUGCACAAUGGGGGAAACCCUGAUGCAGCGACGCCGCGUGUGGGAAGACGGUCCUCUGGAUUGUAAACCACUGUCCCCAGGGACGAAGAUGACGGUACCUGGGGAGGAAGCUCCGGCUAACUACGUGCCAGCAGCCGCGGUAAUACGUAGGGAGCGAGCGUUGUCCGGAAUUACUGGGUGUAAAGGGAGCGUAGGCGGUCUGUUAAGUCAGCGGUCAAAGCCCGGGGCUCAACCCCGGCCCGCCGUUGAAACUGGCAGUCUCGAGUUGGAGAGAAGUAUGCGGAAUGCGCGGUGUAGCGGUGAAAUGCAUAGAUAUCGCGCAGAACUCCGAUUGCGAAGGCAGCAUGCCGGCUCCACACUGACGCUGAGGCACGAAAGCGUGGGUAUCGAACAGGAUUAGAUACCCUUGUAGUC
rnacentral:rRNA from 1 species